UCUGAAAUAGAUGGAAUGAUUAGAAAAUCUAUUGAAGUGGGGAUGUUUCGCAUUAAGGUAUUCAUGGGUUAAGACGGGAUAAACUUUGUCGUCCCAAAUAAGAUGGAGUUUUAGUUUAGGGUUUUCAAAACCUUUAAUACAACUCAUAUGGGAAAAAAAUGGUGGCGAAUCCUGAAGAACCUGAACUUUAUUGGGUUUGGAACUUAAAUCUAUCUAUUUCCCUAAUGGUUUUAUCUUUUAUGCUAGAAAAGGUUGGCGGCCAAUUUAUACUUGGACCAGCAUUCACCGCACAAAAUGGGUAUUGGGGGAGGGGUUUAAAUGGAAGAUUGACAAUAGUAGCAAGUUCUUAUUUCUGAUGAUAGAUGGUUACCCCACGGUUCUAGCUUAAUCUACUAGGAGAGCCUUAGAGAGGAUUGGGGUUCGUGUGGUGGCCAAUUUAUUGUCUUCUUUGAGGACAUGAUGGAAUAUGAGUUUAGUGAAAGCUCUCUUUUGGCCACCUACUAUUCCCAUUCCUGUGUAGAUUCCUCUCCUCUGCUCUCAUCAAGAGGAAACUUUGUCUUGGCCGAGUGCUACUAAUGGUGAAAUACCACAAAGUUAGGCUAUGGUUUUAUCCGGAGGAAAAGUAUUGCGCCCUUUUCGUCGUCUUCUAUAAAGCAUUAGUUUCCGCCGAGGUUUUGGAAAUCUCUUUGCAGAUCAUCCACAUUCCCUUGUUACAAAGAGGUGGUGUGGCAUGGGGGCUUUGGGAUCCUUCUAGUCAGACCCCUUUUGAGUCACACACGAUAUCGGUAGAGGAUGCUUGUUCAUUAUCUCGGCAGCGGCCUCGGGAGGCGUCGUGAAGGUUAAUUUUGGUACGUCUGUCAUUCAAUAUGUAGAAGGUUUGGAGUCUGUUGCUCGUGACCAUUCAGAGGUGUUGGCUGUUGCUUCUAUAUAUCCUCUAGAUGUUCAAACUUAUUUUCUUGCAGAGGUUUUUUGGUGAACUCUAUCAUUGGCUAUUGAUUUAUGUUGGCGAGUUUUCUUUUUGAAAAAUUGUCUGCAACUCUUUGAUGCUUGGCGUCGCUCGAGGACCAGCUGCUCGUAUUGUAUUACUAUUAUUUUCCAUGGUAGAGCUUUAGAUUAAGAUUCUUUUAAGCUUUCUUUUAUCCGUCGUCCUGGUAAUUAUGUUGCGAACUACCUAAUUAAAAACUCUAACUUUCCUUUACCU